rnacentral:lncRNA from 1 species
GAACUUUUACAAGCAUCCAAUUUGAAUUCGCCGAAAGCGUCAGUCAAACUUUGUUUUUCCCCCAGUUUUAAUGCGGGACUUAAAUUCGGGAGAUUUUUAACUGUGACUGAGGAUCGUGCAGAACCGGAGCUCCACGAUGGAUACUCUGUUCUUCCUACUUUCCAUGGCGGACUGGGGGGCCGACCCCUUGGAUUCCCCCGAGGACCCAUCCUGGCAGCACCUUACGACGAGAACUCCCGGAGCCCUUUAAGAUGCAUAACGAGGAGUAGCGAAAGCCGCCGGGAGCGAGAGAGGCGGGAGCAGAUUCGCCGCGAGAUAGAAGAGAUUCGCCGCCAACUGGAAGCGAGCAUGCCGCCGAGUCAGCGCGCCUCCGGAAACAACCAGAGGGCGAACCAGGAGCCGGCCAGAGGCGCGCAGACCUCUCGCAACGCAAGCUCCAGGAACCGCGGAACGCAGGUACGAAAUAUUGUGUCUGUUCCAGGGUGGCAUGAAACGGAAGAAAGUAAUGAAAGAUUCGAAAUUUCAAUGCAAUAUUUCAUGCGUUUCAGGGGCCAGAGUAUGCAAUUAGCACCAGAAAACGCAAAAUUGAAGAAAUUCACACUUUGCGAAACAUGAAAAGGAACCGGUAUUUUCCAAUAUCUGCCAUAGAUUUCUGAAAUUUCAUGAAAUAUUUCACGUAAAAUUUCAAGAUUUCAUUUUUCAUGAAAUUUUGCCAUUCUGGUCUGUAAGAAGGGGGCCAUGCCCCUUCGCCGCUACGCGGCCCAACCACCAAGUGCUACUACUCAGUAAGAAAAAAUAAGGGGCUGUCCAUAAAUUACGUAAAGCUCUUAGGCGGGAGAUGAAGGGGGGGGGGUCUCGAACAGCCUUACGUAAGCUUUCCAGCCUGUAUUUAAAGAAAACGCAAAAUAUAUUUUUCGUUGGGUUGAUAAUAAAAUUCAAGAUGGAAUAGAGGGAAUCAGCGCACCACCGAUUGCUGACCGAUCAGACCAUGCUCUUGUCAUUUCUCUUGAUUCCCACUUCUCCACUCCGGGGGAAGAUGAGUAGUGACCUCAUCUUUAUGUCAACUUUAUACGACUAUUAGUGGGGUUCCAUACGAACCACUAAUUGGCUUAUAAAGCCAUAUAGAUACGAGCCGUCUUAGUUUGUUUCAAAAAACUAGCGUAAAAUUUUAAUACUCUUAUAUUAUAGGGCAACCCCUAGAAAGGAUACUUUAAUAUAGUAUAAGCACUGUCCUCCCUCCCCACAAUAGGGGCGCAAAUAGGGCUCACAAUAUCCUUGUCAUUGACUUGAUUGAUUUCUUCCGCCGCCAGGUGCAGGACAUACAACAGGCCCCACAGUUCUCGGCGGAUCCCGGAUGGACGGACGUUUACACAUACCCGCAGCUGCAACAGUUACAGCAGAUGCAACAACAACAGUUACAGCAGAUGCAACAACAGACGCAGCAGAUGCAACAACAACAGACGCAGCGGCGUCCUAGUGGAUACAACAGCAACUCGCGAUCCAGAUCGCAGCAGCAACUAACCGUCAACAUACCGCACACAUCGGCCAUACCGAACGGACAGAGGUGGUGGCGUACUGGGUCCCUCUCACCUCCCCCAGCCCUUUUGCCAACUACCGGAGACCCCAUCAAUUAUGAUUAAAAACGCUGAUGAAGCGCAGAACUGAACUGCAGUAUCUAUGUGGAGAGAGUUUGGGACAUGUUGAAAUAUAAGCAAAUCGUUCGUCAACUGUUGACGAAAUCUGUAAACGGUUUACGACACACGUCAUCAAAACAAACUUGCGUUCUCGGUUUGUGAUUACAUGGGCGUGGCCUUGCUUUUCCCGCCAAUUUUCGCCAACAGUUUACGGUUGCGUAAACGUGCCCCAGACCAAAAUUAUCGAAACUGUUGACGAUUCUGGUUCAGAGAGUGAAACCCAUCGGCAGUCCUUUAAACAGGCCACCGGGCUCUGAUUGGUUGAUGAAAAUACCAGCUUCGUUAAUGCACAGGACAACUGUUUACGGAUUUCGUCAACGGUUGACGAACGAAAAUUUGCUUUAUGGAGCUCUUAAGGCCGAAAAGAGUGGCCUCCUUUUUAACACGAAAAACAUUAGAUAAAUGCCGCCAACGAUGGAGAUGUUGCAUGUGUGAGGAAUUUGCGAUUUGACUGUUGAUUCUUACGUAAAAGUUUGCGAGAAACACGAUGGUGCCACUGGUCUUGAAAUCAACUCCCAAGCUAAAAAAAGCUCUCAAGUUGAGGCCAAAAUGGAGGGGAUAUACCACGCUAUCCUGCGAGUCCACCUCUACAUCAACACAAACUUUCCAUGCGAAUAUAGGGAGUAAAUACAUUAGAAAGGUGGCCGUUUUUCAGUUUUAGAGUCCCCAAAUAAAGUGGCAGCCCUGUCAAUGAUUUUGCUCCCUAUCUUUGCAUGGAGAGUUUGUUUUGAUGUAGAGGCGGACUCUCAGGAUAGCGUGGAGACAUCCCCUCCAUUUUGGCCUCAACUUGAGAGCUUUUUUUGAGCUUGGCAGUUGAUUUCAGAGAAAACCAGUGGCACCAUCGUGCUUCUCGCGAACUUUUACAUAAGAAUCAACAGUCAAAUCGCAAAUUCCUCACACAUGCAACAUCUCCAUCUUCAGAUUCCAAUUCCAAACCAAGAUGGCCAAGAAUGUUUAUGAAUGAGCAUCCCGUCGGAAAAAUUAAUAAAUUUAUGCGAAAAAACAAGUCAGAUAGGUGCUUCAUAAAUGACCGGUCAUAACCAUUGUAAUGAUAAAUCAUUGUGGAUACUUUCAGUUCAAUAAGCUAGCUGCCCUUUUGGACCUAAGAGCUCCAUGGCCUAACCUUCAUAAUUACCGAUUAGUGCAUAAUCUCAACUGAACCAAACAGAACAGAACUAAGUCAUAUUUUGAAUAAAUAAGUGUGUAGAGCUAUUCGCAGAAAUGUGUUUAAAUUAUUUCAGAUUACAGAUCAGUCAAAAAUAUUAAAAUAUGUCCUAACAUCAAGAUACCACGUCCAAUAAUGACGGAGGCAUCCGUAACAAACACGGCAUAUGCCAUCAUUCAUCGCGGCAGUGCAUACCACGAUUCCUUCCACCUUAAUUUCAUCUUUAAAAAUGGAAAUAAGUGUAUUAUUCAUGGAUGAAUUCAAGAUAGGAGAAACCACGCUGGGUAUAGACGCUGGGGGUAGAUAACGUCUCACACCGUGUUUUUCGCAAGGCCAUGUGUUCGUUAAAAUUUGAUGUGGUAGCCACGUCUUUAAACAGAUCGUAUCACUUCCUGCGGAUCUGUGGGCUUAAAAAAUCAAAAUAUGAGUAUGUGACUACCGAAUUGACCCAGCUGUUAUGUUCAUGCCCGUGGUGAAAACUGUAAGAUUUUUCUCUCUCUCUCUCUCUUACUGCAAAAAUAGACACUUACAAUGUUCAUUGUUAUCUGUGAGGACAGGUGUCAGUGUACCUGAUCCCGUGAAGUUGCAUGCGUUCAUGCUGAGUCUGAGUCUUGAGUUUUUUCUCGAAUAUUCGAAUAAAUCCACGUGUACAACGCGGUGAGGUUCAAUUUUGUAACACCUGGAAAAUUCCUGAUAUAGCACUUCGCAGCAGCCACGUCAAUUUUUCUGGGCUCCACCUGGCAAGAACACAUUAAAGCUCCCACUGAACAAAAAGAGCAAAACAAUUAUAAAAAAAAUCCAGAAACGUGAGAGGGAAAAGCUAUGUGUGUGGCUUUUUUGAAUCCGUUAAUUUCCAAAAUCGCUUCUGAGUGCAAAAUGAAACCGAACGAACACGAAAUUGCGACUUUUCAGUGAUACAUUUGAACUAAAGUGGACGUCUUUAAAUAUAAAAAGGAACUAUAUUCAUUGCGAUAUGAGCCCUGGCAUGCAUGUACUCUUGUGGAUCUCAGGGCUCGUGUCAGAAUGUAUAUAAUUCAUUUUUAUUUAAGUACGUCCUAUUGAUGCGCUCCGAAAGCGAAGAAGUAACGACUAUCUACAGCUAAACUAUAAUUAUUUUUGAACUCUGACUUUACUUUUUAAAACGGGUGGUUUUUAAGUUGGGGGGAGGCAAAGGAAAAUUUCAUCGAGAGUUUGCAGAUUUGGAUAGGGACGGAGGUGCCCCUACCCGAAAGGAGAUAAAGUGUUCAAAUUAAAAGCCCAAACUAGAAAGAAAAUAGUGCUAGGAAAGGCGGGACAUGAUAAAUAUCGACGGUGAAACUACCAAACCACGUAUCUCGGUUUGCGACGUUGCAGACUUCCUGUCAUACUUUAUUUUUUUAAUGAAAAACUACUUAACGUCUAGUCUUGAAAAUUUCUGUGAUUUUUCCUCUUUGUGCGGAGAAAAUUCUGUGAAAAUUUCAAGGAAUGAUAUUGAUUUGGUCUACUUCAAAAAAUAAAAUGCGAGCGUAGAUUUUUAAACACCGCAAACGAGAUACGUGGUUUGGUAGUUUCACUGUCGAUAUAUGAAUUGGAGAAAUCAAAUGAAUAUAAAUAUAAGUACAUUCUUGGUUUCCUGGUUCGAAUCCCGC